AACGAACGCUGGCGGCAGGCUUAACACAUGCAAGUCGAGCGCCCCGCAAGGGGAGCGGCAGACGGGUGAGUAACGCGUGGGAAUCUACCCAUCACUACGGAACAACUCCGGGAAACUGGAGCUAAUACCGUAUACGUCCUUCGGGAGAAAGAUUUAUCGGUGAUGGAUGAGCCCGCGUUGGAUUAGCUAGUUGGUGGGGUAAUGGCCCACCAAGGCGACGAUCCAUAGCUGGUCUGAGAGGAUGAUCAGCCACACUGGGACUGAGACACGGCCCAGACUCCGACGGGGGGAAGAAGUGGGGAAUAUUGGACAAUGGGCGCAAGCCUGAUCCAGCCUUGCCGCGUGAGUGAUGAAGGCCCUAGGGUUGAAAAGCUCUUUCACCGGUGAAGAUAAUGACGGUAACCGGAGAAGAAGCCCCGGCUAACUUCGUGCCAGCCGCCGCGGUAA
rnacentral:rRNA from 1 species